CUAGCGUUGCUCGGAAUCACUGGGCGUAAAGCGCACGUAGGCGGUUUGCUAAGUCAGGGGUGAAAUCCUGGAGCUCAACUCCAGAACUGCCUUUGAUACUGGCGAUCUUGAGUCCGGGAGAGGUGAGUGGAACUGCGAGUGUAGAGGUGAAAUUCGUAGAUAUUCGCAAGAACACCAGUGGCGAAGGCGGCUCACUGGCCCGGUACUGACGCUGAGGUGCGAAAGCGUGGGGAGCAAACAGG
rnacentral:rRNA from 1 species